GGAGGGGGAGCGGCGGCGACGACGCGAGGCGCCGGAGGGCUCUCGCGCGGGCCCGGUCUUGGGGAAGGCGGGUGCCGGGGGCGGUGAGAGGCCUCUUCCGGACUAGGGGACGGAGCCCGACGUGGAGGUCGCGGGGCCGCGUGUCCGCCACGUCUCGCUGACCGGAGGCUGAUUCAUCGGGCUUCCCCUGGGCGCUUUCCUUUCCUCGCGGCCGGGCCCCUGAGGGUCUCCCUUUUCUGUCCAGCCCCUGUCGUGGGAGGGGCGGGACACACCGUUUCAGGACCUGGGUCCCCCCCCUGGGUUUUUCUGAGUUGAAUCGGAGGUGGAAGGAAGUGCGGUGUUUGUCCUCCCCAGUGGUCUGGAUGAGGGGAGCUCGCCCCCUGGUGGGAAGCGCCGCUCUUUGAAACCUGCUUUCCAAGUGUGUGGUUGGUGACUUUCUCUCCAGAUGCUGAGGUGCCUGGAUCCCUGGCGCAGGCAGUUGCUGAGCUGCAGCUGGAGUAGACUGUGCCUUCUGAAGCACUCUCUGUUUACGAUGAAGUUGCAGUCUCCAGAGUUCCAGACACUUUUCACAGAAGGCUUGAAGAGUCUGACAGAAUUAUUCAUCAAAGAAAAUCAUGAGUUAAGAAUAGCAGGAGGAGCAGUGAGGGAUUUAUUAAGUGGAGUAAAGCCGCAGGAUGUGGAUUUUGCUACCACUGCUACCCCUGCUCAAAUGAAGGAGCUGUUUCAGUCGGUCGGCGUUCGUAUGAUCAACAACAAAGGAGAAAAGCACGGGACGAUCACUGCCAGGCUUCAUGAAGAAAAUUUUGAAAUUACUACACUACGGAUUGACGUUGCCACUGAUGGAAGACAUGCUGAGGUCGAAUUCACAACUGACUGGCAGAAAGAUGCUGAACGCAGAGAUCUCACUAUAAAUUCUAUGUUUUUAGGUUUCGAUGGUACUUUAUUUGACUACUUUAAUGGUUAUGAAGAUUUAAAAAAUAAGAAAGUUAGAUUUGUUGGAGAAGCUAAACAGAGGAUACAAGAAGAUUAUCUUCGAAUUUUAAGAUAUUUCAGGUUUUAUGGGAAAAUUGUAGAUACACCUGGUGACCACGAUCCUGAGACUUUGGAAGCAAUUGCAGAAAAUGCAAAAGGCUUGGCUGGAAUAUCAGGAGAGAGGAUUUGGGUGGAACUGAAAAAAAUUCUUACUAGUAACCACGUAAAUCAUUUGAUUCACCUCAUCUAUGACCUUGAUGUGGCUCCUUACAUAGGCUUACCUGCUAAUGCAAGUUUAGAAGAAUUUAACAAAGUCAGUAAAAAUGUUGAAGGUUUUUCCCCAAAGCCAAUGACUCUCUUGACCUCACUGUUCAAAGUACAGGAUGAUGUCACAAAAUUGGAUCUGAGGUUGAAGAUUUCAAAAGAAGAGAAGAAUCUCGGUUUAUUUAUAGUUAAAAACAGGAAAGAUUUAAUUAAAGCAACAGAUAGUUCAGAACCUUUGAAACCCUAUCAAGACUUCAUUAUAGAUUCUAGAGAAUCUGAUGCAACUGCUCGUGUGUGUGAACUCCUCAAGUACCAAGGAGAGCACGGUCUUCUGAAGGAGAUGCAGCGGUGGUCCAUUCCUCCAUUUCCUGUAAGUGGCCAUGACAUCAGAAAAGUGGGCAUUUCUUCCGGAAAAGAAAUUGGGGCUCUCUUACAGCAGUUGCGAGAACAGUGGAAGAAAAGUGGUUACCAAAUGGAAAAAGAUGAACUGCUAAGUUACAUAAAGAAGACCUAAAAUUGAUGAGAGCUGGCUACUAAAAAAGCAGAAACGUUUUGGUAAGACUAGUUUUUUCCCCUCUGCCCUUAGUGAGAUGUUAGAGACUGGAAUAAAAGCCAGCUUAGAGGAUCUCUUCAGAAGAAUAAAGGUCUUAUUUUGUGAAAUACAAUUAUAUUUCAGGCACUAAAGGAAAGUCUACAUCCUCUUAAUCUGAUUUAUAUCACUGAACCUUGUAAUUCUUUUGGAAUAGUUCCUACUGAGGAAAAAAAAGAGUUGGCUUCGCUUAAUCUGUCUAGGUUUUUUUUAAAAAGUGGGUUUUUUGGUUUGUUUUCGCACAGGGCAGUACUAAGAUUAAUCCUAACACGUGGUAACUGUUUUGAAAAAGAUGUUUCUUAAUAUUUGCAAUUGAAAUACCUGGUUUAAUUUUCUACGACGAUUGUGUAUGAUAAGUGUCAGUUUUUAUCUGAAUUCCAGAAUAAACCUGUGCUUGAAAAUAGCUGACAAAUUUGCAUAAAGUAUCGUAUAUAAAAUGUGAAGAUCAGAUGUGUCCCACGUGGCCGUCAUUCCUACACCCAGGACUUGACUUGUUCUAGGAAGCUGUAGUUUAGUAUGUAGUUGAUACUUUUCUCUGCCAUAAUGAAUGAUUUCUGUAACUUCCUGCUAAGCCGGGAAAGAUUAGGUCGAGGGUUAGUCUUGAGCCCGUUAUUUUAAUAAACAUUUCCUUUGGAAUUAAUUGGAAGAUAAAUGUGGGUAUCUAUAUACGUAUAUACAUAUAUAACAAACAGGUGCCAUAUAUACAUAGUGACAGUACUCCUGUCAGUCACUUUAAAGUAAAAUAAAGGUUAUGGCCUUUUGCUCUUUAAAGAUCUGAGGCCAGAUGCUUGCAGUGGGUGAAGAGGUGUAUCACACAAAGUAUUGUUUAUUCUGACAUUUUAUAAUUUUCCUUUCUGUGUAGCCACUCAUAGCAUCUUUGUGCGCUACUGGCAAAUAGCAAUUUUGGACCUUGAUAAAACAAUUUUGAAAAGCAUAUUUCUGUUAAAGCCCUGCUAAGAGGAAGUGUGACAGACAAACACUCAGUGUACAAACAGGGGCUAUGUUGCAAGAAAGGGAGCCUCAGAAACGACUGCACACAGGCAAAACCAAAAAAAAGUGACCACCACCACAUUACCCAGGAAACCAGCUGUGCUCUGUAGAAGGCCGGCCGAUCAGAUUCAAGUUGCAAGCCUUAUACACGGUAAGCGUCUCAUGCACGUAUCCGUGAGGAUUCACAUAAGCUGCCAUCGGCCCACAUAAGGAUAAACUAAAACAGAGAAUCAGCACAGAGGAUAAGUCAAGUCAAAAUGGGGUGGGGUGGAAAUAACAUAUUUUAAAAGUUCACCAAGAAACAAGGUUCUAAGAGCUAUAGUUUUUAACCUUUUAGUUAAAACUAAUAAUAAGAGGUUGGCAGUCAGCCCAGUUUUAUAUUUGGUCUAAAUGUUUUUCCAUGAUGACAAAAAGGAAAAUA